rnacentral:tRNA from 1 species
GCUUGGUUAGCUUAGUUGGUAGUGCGUCUGCCUUGUAAGCGCUAGGCCGCGGGUUCGAUUCCCGCCCGGGGCG